rnacentral:rRNA from 1 species
UAAGGAAUAUUGGACAAUGGAGGCAACUCUGAUCCAGCCAUGCCGCGUGGAGGAAUAAGGCCCUAUGGGUUGUAAACUUCUUUUAGACGGGACAAAACCCCUUUACGUGUAAAGGGUUGAUGGUACUGUCAGAAUAAGCAUCGGCUAACUUCGUGCCAGCAGCCGCGGUAAUACGAAGGAUGCAAGCGUUAUCCGGAAUUAUUGGGUUUAAAGGGUGCGUAGGCGGACUAAUAAGUCAGUGGUGAAAGCCUGCAGCUUAACUGCAGAAUUGCCAUUGAUACUGUUAGUCUUGAGUACAGUUGAGGUAGGCGGAAUGUGUCAUGUAGCGGUGAAAUGCUUAGAUAUGACACAGAACACCGAUUGCGAAGGCAGCUUGCUAAGCUGUAACUGACGCUGAGGCACGAAAGCGUGGGGAGCAAACA